GGGGGUGUGGCCGGUACUCACAGGCCGUAAGGUGGUACACAUGGAUGUCAGAGGAAAUAAAGUCAAACUGAGUGAUGGUGCAGAGAUCUCAUAUGAAAAGUGUCUGAUUGCCACAGGUGGGGUGCCUAGGAACCUGCAAGUGAUGAGAAAGAGCAGGAGAGGAGGUGAUGAAGAGGACAACCCUCUUCAGAAAAAUUGAAGAUUUUAGAUCUCUAGAGAAGAUCUCCGGAGAGGUUAAGUCAUUAUCAUCAUUGGUGGAGGUUUUCUUGGUAGCGAGCUAGGCAU